rnacentral:rRNA from 1 species
UUUACAAAUUCCCCGGAGGGAAAGUUGCAAAGAACUUUGAAGAGAGAGUUCAAUAGGGCGUGAAACCGCUUAGAAUGAAACUGGUGGAACUGAAAAGUGGAUGGCAAGAUUCAGUCAAUGGAGGGCGACGCUUUGCCUUUAAUUGAUGCACUUCUUGUCAUCCCGCGCUGCGACCGGUCAGUGGACUGGCAACGAGCAGUGAAUUGAAGACGUGCGCUUCGGUGUACGAGCCUCAUUCAUGGCUUACGCCUGGUUCCGCUGACUGUGAACCGUUCGUGCCCGCUUGUCUCGCUUGCAUGCUUGCUUGCUUGAGUCGACUUCUGGGUCCUGCUUGCAGAGCCUAGAGACCGCUUGAGCUUGUUAGGUGUGUUUAGUGAGUGGCAUCGAUGGUCAGCAGCGUUUGUGUCAGUCACCCACCUGACCCGUCUUGAAACACGGACCAAGGAGUCUAACUUGUGCGCAAGUCAUUGAGUGGUAAACUCAUUGGCGUAAUGAAAGUAAUGAACAGCUCGGUUGUUCAAUAGUAGGAUCCGUUUGUCUCUUGGCAAGCGGCGCACUACUGUCCCGUCUGUAGAACUCGCUUCUUAGGCGGAGACUGAGCGUACACGUUGGUACCCGAAAGAUGGUGAACUAUGCCUGAGCAGGAUGAAGUCAGAAGAAAUUCUGAUGGAAGUCUGAAGCAGUUCUGACGUGCAAAUCGAUUGUCAGACUUGGGUAUAGGGGCGAAAGACUAAUCGAACCAUCUAGUAGUUUUCUCCUCUUCAGAAA